GAAUGACCUCUUUUCUAUUUUUCAUCAAACUUAAUGUAUGUAAUUUUUCAGCUCAAGGUGCGGCCAUCAUCUUCGGGCCAUUACAAACGGCCUAUGGUAAACAUCACACGUUUAACCAUAUAUUUGUAGAACGAGAACUACGAGAAUGGAUACAACAAAAAUAUGCAUCUGACAAUGUAGCAAUUCUACGGGGUCGGGGAGUGAUCCCCGACUCCGUACUGAUAGAGGACGGUAGCUUCCUGGGGCGGAGGUUCCAGGUCUUUAAGGACCUGGAACUUCCAAACACGUAUUGAGUGUUUUAUAAUUAAUAAACCUGUUAAAUUUUGUUCUGUUUUUCUUAUCCGCCCCACUGCAUAGAUUAUGAUUGUAU